CUUAGAGUAAUGUCUAAGUAUCAUUAAGUGAAUACAUAGCUUAAUGAGGGGAACUCAGGGAACUGAAACAUCUAAGUACCUGAAGGAAGAGAAAGAAAUUCGAUUCCGUAAGUAGCGGCGAGCGAACGCGGAUUAGCCCAAACCAAUAAAGUUUUCUUUAUUGGGGUUGCGGACAUAUCAUAACGAAGAGGUAUCGUAAUUGAAGAGGUUUGGAAAGACCUACCACAGAAGGUAAUAGUCCUGUAUGUUAAACGAGAAGACUUUAGAUAUGAUCCAGAGUACCACGGGACACGUGAAACCCUGUGGGAAGCAGGAGGGACCACCCUCCAAGGCUAAAUACUACCUAGUGACCGAUAGCGUAUAGUACCGUGAGGGAAAGGUGAAAAGAACCCCGGGAGGGGAGUGAAAUAGAACCUGAAACCCUGCACUUACAAGCUGUGGAAGCACAUUUCUUGUGUGACCGCGUACUUUUUGUAGAACGGGCCAACGAGUUACGUUAAGUAGCAAGGUUAAGCACUUAAGGUGCGGAGCCGUAGCGAAAGCGAGUUUUAACUGAGCGUUCAGUUACUUGACGUAGACCCGAAACCGGGCGACCUACCCAUGAGCAGGAUGAAGCGAAAGUAAAAUUUCGUGGAGGUCCGAACCCACGAGCGUUGAAAAGCUCGGGGAUGACUUGUGGGUAGCGGUGAAAUUCCAAUCGAGCCCGGAGAUAGCUGGUUCUCCCCGAAA
rnacentral:rRNA from 1 species